AAAGGAGUUCACAACAAAGGACAAUCAUCAAAAGGAGGCUCAACAUUUCCACAUAUGGAUUCAGGUUAGCUUCCGCUCAUGUAGUUUAUAUAUCCGAAAUAUUCGAUAUGAAGGUUGUUGUUUUUAGUAGGAAUCAUAAUCCUAACAAUUAGUAUCAGAGCCACCCUUCAUUUUGGAUAAUUUGGAUGUUCAUAAGAAUCAUGUUAUGUUAGGA
rnacentral:lncRNA from 1 species